CCCUAUGGGUUGUAAACUSYUUUUAUACAGCRAGAGAAACCUUUCCACKGUGYGGAGAGCUGACGGUACUCGUAAAAAUAAGGAUCGGCUACACUCCGUGCCAGCASCCGCGGUAAUACGCGAGGAUCUCGAAGCGUUAUCCGGAAUCAUUGGGUUUAAAGGGUCCGUGAGSUGGAUAAUUAAGUCGAGAGGUGAAARUUUGCGGCUCAACCGUAAAAUUGCCUUUGWAUACUGGUUAUCKUGAAUCAUUGUCGAAGUGGUUAGAAUAUGUAGUGUAKCGGUGAAAUGCAUAGAUAUUACAUAGAAUACCAAUUGCGAAGGCUAGAUCACUAACAAUSUAUUGACACUSAUGGACGAAAGCGUGGGGAGCGAACGGGMUUAGAUACCCCGGUAGUCCACGCCGUAAACGWYGGUCACUAGYAUGUUCGGACUUCGGUCUGAGUGGCUAAGCGAAAGUGAUAAGUGACCC
rnacentral:rRNA from 1 species